rnacentral:lncRNA from 1 species
UAAGAUCGAAGCAAAACUCCACAGUUGCCACUUCACUCGUUGCAAUGCAAUUAGAAAAUCACACACACGCAUACACUCGUGCCUGCAUAUGUUUCCUGUGCCUUCGAAAGAUAUUUUUCUCUACUUUUACUAGACUUUGAAUCCAGCAUGGUAACAUUGAAAGGCUGACGAUGUUUUGACCGGCUUCGUGUUGGAGCUGGCUCCAGGCAACUUCAUGGGACUAUCACCCUCCCCAGGGAUGCCAGCCCCACCAGGAAGAGGAUUCCACAAGGUCCAGAGUUUCCUGAGGCUGGACCUGACUGACGGAGCAGGAGCAGCUCUUGCCCACCGCCCACCCCUUGGCCACCACAGAAAGACAAUGUGAGGACACAGCUAUAAGGCAGCCAUCUACAAACCAAGAAGAAAAUCCUCACCAGAACCCGGAUCUGACAGCAUCUUGAUCUUGGACUUCCAGCCUCCAAAACCA